rnacentral:rRNA from 1 species
AGAUUAAGUUAUUAAGGGCGCACGGUGGAUGCCUUGGCACUAGAAGCCGAUGAAGGACGUUACUAACGACGAUAUGCUUUGGGGAGCUGUAAGUAAGCUUUGAUCCAGAGAUUUCCGAAUGGGGAAACCCAGCAUGAGUUAUGUCAUGUUAUCGAUAUGUGAAUACAUAGCAUAUCAGAAGGCACACCCGGAGAACUGAAACAUCUUAGUACCCGGAGGAAGAGAAAGAAAAUUCGAUUCCCUUAGUAGCGGCGAGCGAAACGGGAAGAGCCCAAACCAACAAGCUUGCUUGUUGGGGUUGUAGGACACUCUAUACGGAGUUACAAAGGACGACAUUAGACGAAUCAUCUGGAAAGAUGAAUCAAAGAAGGUAAUAAUCCUGUAGUCGAAAAUGUUGUCUCUCUUGAGUGGAUCCUGAGUACGACGGAGCACGUGAAAUUCCGUCGGAAUCUGGGAGGACCAUCUCCUAAGGCUAAAUACUCUCUAGUGACCGAUAGUGAACCAGUACCGUGAGGGAAAGGUGAAAAGCACCCCGGAAGGGGAGUGAAAUAGAACCUGAAACCGUGUGCUUACAAGUAGUCAGAGCCCGUUAAUGGGUGAUGGCGUGCCUUUUGUAGAAUGAACCGGCGAGUUACGAUUUGAUGCAAGGUUAAGCAGUAAAUGUGGAGCCGUAGCGAAAGCGAGUCUGAAUAGGGCGUUUAGUAUUUGGUCGUAGACCCGAAACCAGGUGAUCUACCCUUGGUCAGGUUGAAGUUCAGGUAACACUGAAUGGAGGACCGAACCGACUUACGUUGAAAAGUGAGCGGAUGAACUGAGGGUAGCGGAGAAAUUCCAAUCGAACCUGGAGAUAGCUGGUUCUCUCCGAAAUAGCUUUAGGGCUAGCCUCAAGUGAUGAUUAUUGGAGGUAGAGCACUGUUUGGACGAGGGGCCCCUCUCGGGUUACCGAAUUCAGACAAACUCCGAAUGCCAAUUAAUUUAACUUGGGAGUCAGAACAUGGGUGAUAAGGUCCGUGUUCGAAAGGGAAACAGCCCAGACCACCAGCUAAGGUCCCAAAAUAUAUGUUAAGUGGAAAAGGAUGUGGCGUUGCCCAGACAACUAGGAUGUUGGCUUAGAAGCAGCCAUCAUUUAAAGAGUGCGUAAUAGCUCACUAGUCGAGUGACACUGCGCCGAAAAUGUACCGGGGCUAAACAUAUUACCGAAGCUGUGGAUUGUCCUUUGGACAAUGGUAGGAGAGCGUUCUAAGGGCGUUGAAGCAUGAUCGUAAGANNNUNNNNNNNNNNNNNNNNNNNNNNNNNNNNNNNNNNNNNNNNNNNNNNNNNNNNNNNNNNNNNNNNNNNNNNNNNNNNNNNNNNNNNNNNNGUNANAACAUGUGGAGCGCUUAGAAGUGAGAAUGCCGGUGUGAGUAGCGAAAGACGGGUGAGAAUCCCGUCCACCGAUUGACUAAGGUUUCCAGAGGAAGGCUCGUCCGCUCUGGGUUAGUCGGGUCCUAAGCUGAGGCCGACAGGCGUAGGCGAUGGAUAACAGGUUGAUAUUCCUGUACCACCUAUAAUCGUUUUAAUCGAUGGGGGGACGCAGUAGGAUAGGCGAAGCGUGCGAUUGGAUUGCACGUCUAAGCAGUAAGGCUGAGUAUUAGGCAAAUCCGGUACUCGUUAAGGCUGAGCUGUGAUGGGGAGAAGACAUUGUGUCUUCGAGUCGUUGAUUUCACACUGCCGAGAAAAGCCUCUAGAUAGAAAAUAGGUGCCCGUACCGCAAACCGACACAGGUAGUCAAGAUGAGAAUUCUAAGGUGAGCGAGCGAACUCUCGUUAAGGAACUCGGCAAAAUGACCCCGUAACUUCGGGAGAAGGGGUGCUCUUUAGGGUUAACGCCCAGAAGAGCCGCAGUGAAUAGGCCCAAGCGACUGUUUAUCAAAAACACAGGUCUCUGCUAAACCGUAAGGUGAUGUAUAGGGGCUGACGCCUGCCCGGUGCUGGAAGGUUAAGAGGAGUGGUUAGCUUCUGCGAAGCUACGAAUCGAAGCCCCAGUAAACGGCGGCCGUAACUAUAACGGUCCUAAGGUAGCGAAAUUCCUUGUCGGGUAAGUUCCGACCCGCACGAAAGGCGUAACGAUUUGGGCACUGUCUCAACGAGAGACUCGGUGAAAUCAUAGUACCUGUGAAGAUGCAGGUUACCCGCGACAGGACGGAAAGACCCCGUGGAGCUUUACUGUAGCCUGAUAUUGAAAUUCGGCACAGCUUGUACAGGAUAGGUAGGAGCCUUUGAAACGUGAGCGCUAGCUUACGUGGAGGCGCUGGUGGGAUACUACCCUAGCUGUGUUGGCUUUCUAACCCGCACCACUUAUCGUGGUGGGAGACAGUGUCAGGCGGGCAGUUUGACUGGGGCGGUCGCCUCCUAAAAGGUAACGGAGGCGCUCAAAGGUUCCCUCAGAAUGGUUGGAAAUCAUUCAUAGAGUGUAAAGGCAUAAGGGAGCUUGACUGCGAGACCUACAAGUCGAGCAGGGUCGAAAGACGGACUUAGUGAUCCGGUGGUUCCGCAUGGAAGGGCCAUCGCUCAACGGAUAAAAGCUACCCCGGGGAUAACAGGCUUAUCUCCCCCAAGAGUUCACAUCGACGGGGAGGUUUGGCACCUCGAUGUCGGCUCAUCGCAUCCUGGGGCUGUAGUCGGUCCCAAGGGUUGGGCUGUUCGCCCAUUAAAGCGGUACGCGAGCUGGGUUCAGAACGUCGUGAGACAGUUCGGUCCCUAUCCGUCGUGGGCGUAGGAAAUUUGAGAGGAGCUGUCCUUAGUACGAGAGGACCGGGAUGGACAUACCUCUGGUGUACCAGUUGUCGUGCCAACGGCAUAGCUGGGUAGCUAUGUGUGGACGGGAUAAGUGCUGAAAGCAUCUAAGCAUGAAGCCCCCCUCAAGAUGAGAUUUCCCAACUUCGGUUAUAAGAUCCCUCAAAGAUGAUGAGGUUAAUAGGUUCGAGGUGGAAGCAUGGUGACAUGUGGAGCUGACGAAUACUAAUCGAUCGAAGACUUAAUCAAAA